AUUGAACGCUGGCGGCAGGCCUAACACAUGCAAGUCGAACGGUAACAGGGAUCAGCUUGCUGAUUCGCUGACGAGUGGCGGACGGGUGAGUAAUGUCUGGGAAACUGCCUGAUGGAGGGGGAUAACUACUGGAAACGGUAGCUAAUACCGCAUAACGUCGCAAGACCAAAGUGGGGGACCUUCGGGCCUCUUGCCAUCGGAUGUGCCCAGAUGGGAUUAGCUAGUAGGUGGGGUAACGGCUCACCUAGGCGACGAUCCCUAGCUGGUCUGAGAGGAUGACCAGCCACACUGGAACUGAGACACGGUCCAGACUCCUACGGGAGGCAGCAGUGGGGAAUAUUGCACAAUGGGCGCAAGCCUGAUGCAGCCAUGCCGCGUGUAUGAAGAAGGCCUUCGGGUUGUAAAAUACUUUCAGCGGGGAAGAAGGGAGUAGAGUUAAUACCUUUGCUCAUUGACGUUACCCGCAGAAGAAGCACCGGCUAACUCCGUG
rnacentral:rRNA from 1 species